GGGCGGUUAGCUCAACUGGGAGAGCAUCUGCCUUACAAGCAGGAGGUCACAGGUUCGAUCCCUGUACCGCCCA
rfam:Spirochaetes bacterium GWB1_36_13 gwb1_scaffold_4623, whole genome shotgun sequence.